CCAGCUCAAAGUAUCACUUCGUCCUUCAUGAAAUCUUCCACAGAGUAGUAGCAUUGUUCAAUUAGAAAAUAAUGCAACUUGCUUUUUAUAAUAUUUGUCUUCAUAUUCAUUAUGUCACACCCUUUUAUUGUGUUGUCAAUUUUCAUGGCUAUAUACUGAGGAGUCUGAGCACGCAGUUUUAAGCGAUGAGAGAUCAAUUCUGCUGCAUAGGAAAAGGGAAAUGCUACAGCACACUACCAGACAUGUUGCAAAAUAUUAAAGACAAUAAUACGGUGAUCAAAGCAAAUAUGCUACAGAAGAGGAUAAUCACAUCAGGGAACACAAUAUAGACAAUAUCGGAUACAGGGAAUGAGGAGACUGGUAGAACUAGACAUGAAGAAGGGCAGAUAGCAUAAGAGUAAAUGGCAUCAUUGGUAACAGGGUGUUGUGAAAAUGCGAGAUGUGGGUUCCCAUGGGUACCUAUACAUCCGGAGUACCAUCAUCCCAGCUAUGCGAGAAUCUGUGGUGAAAGUCCGCCAAAUAGUGAAGUCCUGUGACCGUGAAGUCGCUGCAAGAUACAUGUGCGAGAGCAUAGAAGAGACUAUUAAGUGAGUCAAGGAAAAUCGUGACUUAAUGGUUCAGCAGUUGAUCUGGUGCUUAGUGCUGGUCUGGACCGUUGCACAUCAUUUCACACUGGUGGUAUGCGUACGAGUGAGAAUGAAUACCAUUUGCAACAAAAACUGUUACUUUGGUUCUGUUAUGUUCAUUCCACUUAAUGUCGAGUUCUGUUCCACGUUGCGUUAUGUUUGUUUGUUCAUUUUCAUUGUUUGA